CCUACGGGAGGCAGCAGUAGGGAAUCUUCCGCAAUGGACGAAAGUCUGACGGAGCAACGCCGCGUGAACGAUGAAGGCCUUCGGGUCGUAAAGUUCUGUUGUCAGGGAAGAACAAGUACCGGAGUAACUGCCGGUACCUUGACGGUACCUGACCAGAAAGCCACGGCUAACUACGUGCCAGCAGCCGCGGUAAUACGUAGGUGGCAAGCGUUGUCCGGAAUUAUUGGGCGUAAAGCGCGCGCAGGCGGCUCCUUAAGUCUGAUGUGAAAGCCCCCGGCUCAACCGGGGAGGGUCAUUGGAAACUGGGGAACUUGAGUGCAGAAGAGGAGAGCGGAAUUCCACGUGUAGCGGUGAAAUGCGUAGAGAUGUGGAGGAACACCAGUGGCGAAGGCGGCUCUCUGGUCUGUAACUGACGCUGAGGCGCGAAAGCGUGGGGAGCGAACAGGAUUAGAUACCCUGGUAGUCCACGCCGUAAACGAUGAGUGCUAAGUGUUAGAGGGUUUCCGCCCUUUAGUGCUGCAGCAAACGCAUUAAGCACUCCGCCUGGGGAGUACGGCCGCAAGGCUGAAACUCAAAGGAAUUGACGG
rnacentral:rRNA from 1 species